rnacentral:rRNA from 1 species
UCGAGAAUCUUCGGCAAUGGGCGCAAGCCUGACCGAGCGACGCCGCGUGUGGGAUGAAGGCCCUUGGGUUGUAAACCACUGUCAGAGGGGAUGAAGUGCCAGCCAGUUAUCUGGUUGGUUUGACAUAGCCUCAGAGGAAGCACGGGCUAAGUUCGUGCCAGCAGCCGCGGUAAUACGAACUGUGCAAACGUUAUUCGGAAUCACUGGGCUUACAGGGUGCGUAGGCGGCUUGCUAAGUAGGGUGUGAAAGCCCCCGGCUUAACCGGGGAAUGGCGCCCUAAACUGGCGAGCUGGAGUGAGAUAGGGGUGUGCGGAACUUCCGGUGGAGCGGUGAAAUGUGUUGAUAUCGGAAGGAACGCCGGUGGCGAAAGCGGCACACUGGAUCUCAACUGACGCUGAGGCACGAAAGCCAGGGGAGCGAACGGG